rnacentral:rRNA from 1 species
ACACAUGCAAGUCGAGGGGCAGCAUCAUCAAUGCUUGCUUUGAUGGAUGGCGACCGGCGCACGGGUGAGUAACACGUAUCCAACCUGCCGACAACACUGGGAUAGCCUUUCGAAAGAAAGAUUAAUACCGGAUGGCAUAAUUAUUCCGCAUGGGAUAAUUAUUAAAGAAUUUCGGUUGUCGAUGGGGAUGCGUUCCAUUAGGCAGUUGGCGGGGUAACGGCCCACCAAACCUACGAUGGAUAGGGGUUCUGAGAGGAAGGUCCCCCACAUUGGAACUGAGACACGGUCCAAACUCCUACGGGAGGCAGCAGUGAGGAAUAUUGGUCAAUGGACGAGAGUCUGAACCAGCCAAGUAGCGUGAAGGAUGACUGCCCUAUGGGUUGUAAACUUCUUUUAUACGGGAAUAAAGUGAGCCACGUGUGGCUUUUUGUAUGUACCGUAUGAAUAAGGAUCGGCUAACUCCGUGCCAGCAGCCGCGGUAAUACGGAGGAUCCGAGCGUUAUCCGGAUUUAUUGGGUUUAAAGGGAGCGUAGGCGGGUUGUUAAGUCAGUUGUGAAAGUUUGCGGCUCAACCGUAAAAUUGCAGUUGAUACUGGCGACCUUGAGUGCAACAGAGGUAGGCGGAAUUCGUGGUGUAGCGGUGAAAUGCUUAGAUAUCACGAAGAACUCCGAUUGCGAAGGCAGCUUACUGGAUUGUAACUGACGCUGAUGCUCGAAAGUGUGGGUAUCAAACAGGAUUAGAUACCCUGGUAGUCCACACAGUAAACGAUGAAUACUCGCUGUUGGCGAUAUACAGUCAGCGGCCAAGCGAAAGCAUUAAGUAUUCCACCUGGGGAGUACGCCGGCAACGGUGAAACUCAAGGGAAUUGACGGGGGCCCGCACAAGCGGAGGAACAUGUGGUUUAAUUCGAUGAUACGCGAGGAACCUUACCCGGGCUUAAAUUGCAACUGACGGAACCGGAAACGGUUCUUUCUUCGGACAGUUGUGAAGGUGCUGCAUGGUUGUCGUCAGCUCGUGCCGUGAGGUGUCGGCUUAAGUGCCAUAACGAGCGCAACCCUUACGGGUAGUUACCAUCAGGUUAUGCUGGGGACUCUACCCGGACUGCCGUCGUAAGAUGUGAGGAAGGUGGGGAUGACGUCAAAUCAGCACGGCCCUUACGUCCGGGGCUACACACGUGUUACAAUGGGGGGUACAGAAGGCAGCUACACGGCGACGUGGUGCUAAUCCCAAAAGCCUCUCUCAGUUCGGAUUGGAGUCUGCAACCCGACUCCAUGAAGCUGGAUUCGCUAGUAAUCGCGCAUCAGCCACGGCGCGGUGAAUACGUUCCCGGGCCUUGUACACACCGCCCGUCAAGCCAUGAAAGCCGGGGGUACCUGAAGUACGUAACCAAGAGGAGCGUCCUAGGGUAAAACUGGUGAUUGGGGCUC